GAUGAACGCUAGCGGGAGGCCUAACACAUGCAAGCCGAGCGGUAUUUGUUCUUCGGAACAGAGAGAGCGGCGCACGGGUGCGGAACACGUGUGCAACCUGCCUUUAUCUGGGGGAUAGCCUUUCGAAAGGAAGAUUAAUACCCCAUAAUAUAUUGAGUGGCAUCAUUUGAUAUUGAAAACUCCGGUGGAUAGAGAUGGGCACGCGCAAGAUUAGAUAGUUGGUGAGGUAACGGCUCACCAAGUCAAUGAUCUUUAGGGGGCCUGAGAGGGUGAUCCCCCACACUGGGACUGAGACACGGACCAGACUCCUACGGGAGGCGGCAGUGAGGAAUAUUGGACAAUGGGUUAGCGCCUGAUCCAGCCAUCCCGCGUGAAGGACGACGGCCCUAUGGGUUGUAAACUUCUUUUGUAUAGGGAUAAACCUACUCUCGUGAGAGUAGCUGAAGGUACUAUACGAAUAAGCACCGGCUAACUCCGUG
rnacentral:rRNA from 1 species